CGCGUCCGUAGCUCAGCUGGAUAGAGUACCUGGCUACGAACCAGGCGGUCAGAGGUUCGAAUCCUCUCGGACGCGNCC
rnacentral:tRNA from 1 species